rnacentral:rRNA from 1 species
CCUACGGGAGGCAGCAGUGGGGAAUAUUGCACAAUGGGCGCAAGCCUGAUGCAGCGACGCCGCGUGGGGGAUGACGGCCUUCGGGUUGUAAACUCCUUUCGCUAGGGACGAAGCUUUUUGUGACGGUACCUAGAUAAGAAGCACCGGCUAACUACGUGCCAGCAGCCGCGGUAAUACGUAGGGUGCGAGCGUUGUCCGGAAUUACUGGGCGUAAAGGGCUCGUAGGUGGUUUGUCGCGUCGUCUGUGAAAUUCCGGGGCUUAACUCCGGGCGUGCAGGCGAUACGGGCAUAACUUGAGUACUGUAGGGGUAACUGGAAUUCCUGGUGUAGCGGUGAAAUGCGCAGAUAUCAGGAGGAACACCGAUGGCGAAGGCAGGUUACUGGGCAGUUACUGACGCUGAGGAGCGAAAGCAUGGGUAGCGAACAGGAUUAGAUACCCUAGUAGUC